CAUAUGGUUUUUCUUAAAACCAUAUAUAGUCUUGGAAAAUUAAAU
rfam:Helianthus annuus linkage group 4, whole genome shotgun sequence.